UACGAAGGGGGCUAGCGUUGCUCGGAAUCACUGGGCGUAAAGCGUGCGCAGGCGGUUUUGCAAGCCGGAUGUGAAAUCCCCGGGCUCAACCUGGGAAUGGCAUUUGGGACUGCAAGGCUCGAGUGCGGCAGAGGAGACUGGAAUUCCUGGUGUAGCAGUGAAAUGCGUAGAUAUCAGGAGGAAUACCGAUGGCGAAGGCAGGUCUCUGGGCUGACACUGACGCUCAUGCACGAAAGCGUGGGGAGCAAACAGG
rnacentral:rRNA from 1 species